rnacentral:rRNA from 1 species
GUUAGUGGCAGACGGGUGAGUAAUGCGUAGGAAUCUACCUAGUAGUAUGGAAUAGCCAUUAGAAAUGAUGGGUAAUACUGUAUAAUCCCUGCGGGGGAAAGAUUUAUCGCUAUUAGAUGAGCCUACGUUAGAUUAGCUAGUUGGUAAGGUAAUGGCUUACCAAGGCUAUGAUCUAUAGCUGGUCUGAGAGGACGAUCAGCCACACUGGAACUGAGAUACGGUCCAGACUCCUACGGGAGGCAGCAGUGGGGAAUAUUGGACAAUGGGCGAAAGCCUGAUCCAGCUAUGCCGCGUGAGUGAAGAAGGCCUUCGGGUUGUAAAGCUCUUUCAAUAGGGAAGAUAAUGACGGUACCUAUAA